CUAGCUGUAAACAAACAUAUUAUUCAUGUACAUACAUACUUUAGUUGUAAUGUGAUUCGUGAAAAGACAAUAUGUUAUUGAGUUCCUAAGGCUCUUGUGUUGUUUAGAAAAUUUUACACUUCGUUUGCAGACGGGUUAUUUUUAUGUUUUGUCUACUGAUGGUAUUGAGAUAGAGACCGAAGACCGCCUUGUAUUGGAGAUUAUUGAAACUGUAAUGCUAAUUUCAUCAUUACAAACAGUACUGAAGAUAGAGGCUGGUGUAUUAGGAAUGAAGUAGACGAACUGGAAAACAGGGUCAUUAGGUGUAAAGAUGUACUGGUCAAAGUGGUUGGCAGGGGCUGGAUGCGAAAGGCAAGAGACUGAAGAGAAUGAGUUACUUUCGAAGAGACCUACACACAGCAUUGGAUGGACGCGGGUUGACAAAAAGAGGGUCAUCAGAAUGAUCAAGCUUCCUUUUCCUUCAGAAUGGACCUGUUACAGAUCUAAGUAGGUAAUUUUCGUGGCCGUGAACGCAGCAAGAGCGGCUAACGUUGCCGCAACUGCUACUACCGCUGCAGUGGAUCCUGUGACCUUCAAAGCCAGUCCCAUGAGAAUGGAGACCAGCAUUUGCGCUACGAACACACAACUGCUCACUACAGCCACAUCUGUGCCGAUACCGCGUUCCUGUCCGCAACCUCCACCGGAGCUAUCCCACUGCAGAAAGAGAUUUUUGUUUUUUUUAAUUCACGAAUCAUUAAAACGGUUUCAUUACUGGUGGUAGGACCUCUUGUGAGUCCGCGCGGGUAGGCACCACCACCCAACAUAUUUCUGCCGUGAAGCAGUAAUACGUUUCGGUUUGAAGGGUGGGGCAGCCGUUGUAACUGUACUUAAGACCUUAGAACUUAUAUCUCAAGAUGGGUGGCGCAUUUACGUCGUAGAUGCCUAUGAGCUCGAGUAACCACUGAACACCAGGUGGACUGUGAGCUCGUCCAACCAUCUAAGACAUUAAAAAAAAAUCUUAAUUUGACAAGCAAAAUUAUUUAUCUGAGCUUAUAUUUUUAAUUACAAUACAUUGGCUACGGUCGGAAACAGAACCCAACUCAUCCAAGAGUUAGUGUUCAACGUCGCUUGCCCAAGCGACAUAAUUGUGCUUAUGUAAACUAAGUCUCAGUUAUUUAGUAUAUAACAUAUAUUUUUUUAAUAUAACGCCUGCCCCAUCCUUCAAAACGUAUAACUGCUUCACGACUGAAAUAGACAGGGUGGUAGUACCUUUUCGUGCGUGCUCAAAAUACGCCCUACACCAGUAAUUUUUCGUAAGUCAAAUUUGAAGUCAGUAAUAAAUAUAUUAUUAUAGAAAGCUUAUUAAUGUAAAUGCCAUCUCAUCAUCAUAUUUAUGUUAACUAAUUACUGAAAAGCCCUCUGAAGGAAUUGUUAAUUGAGACAGUAAUUACAUUUUCUUCGAAGCGC